UACGUAGGGGGGCUAGCGUUGUCCGGAAUCAUUGGGCGUAAAGCGCGUGUAGGCGGUCCGGUAAGUCCGCUGUGAAAGUCGAGGGCUCAACCCUCGAAUGCCGGUGGAUACUGUCGGGCUAGAGUGCGGAAGAGGAGACUGGAAUUCCUGGUGUAGCAGUGAAAUGCGCAGAUAUCAGGAGGAACACCGGUGGCGAAGGCGGAUCUCUGGGCCAUUACUGACGCUGAGGAGCGAAAGCGUGGGGAGCGAACAGG
rnacentral:rRNA from 1 species